UACGAAGGGGGCUAGCGUUGUUCGGAAUUACUGGGCGUAAAGGGCGCGUAGGCGGUACUUCAAGUCAGGCGUGAAAGCCCCGGGCUCAACCUGGGAACCGCGCUUGAGACUGGAGAACUAGAGUUCGGGAGAGGAUGGUGGAAUUCCCAGUGUAGAGGUGAAAUUCGUAGAUAUUGGGAAGAACACCUGAGGCGAAGGCGGGUUGUGCUGGACUGAUGACGUGACGUGAGGCGCGAAAGCCAGGGGAGCAAACGGG
rnacentral:rRNA from 1 species